rnacentral:rRNA from 1 species
AUUGAACGCUGGCGGCAGGCUUAACACAUGCAAGUCGAACGGAGUGGCGGACGGGUGAGUAAUGUAUCGGAACGUGCCCAGUAGCGGGGGAUAACUACGCGAAAGCGUAGCUAAUACCGCAUACUAUUGGAGCGGCCGAGAUCGGAUUAGCGAGUUGGUGGGGUAAAUGCUCACCAAGGCGACGAUCCGUAGCUGGUUUGAGAGGCAGACCAGCCACACUGGGACGUAGACACGGCCCAGACUCCUACGGGAGGCAGACGUGGGGAAUGUUGGACAAUGGGGGAAACCCGGAUCCAGCCAUCACGCGUGUGCGAUGAAGGCCUUCGGGUUGUAAAGCACUUUUGGCAGGAAAGCGGUACCUGCAGAAUAAGCACCGGCUAACUACGUGCCAGCAGCCGCGGUAAUAC